UGUAAACCGCGUCGCUGGAAAAUACACCUUGCUGACUGGACACUCUUUACAGAAAAUGCAAAGCUCGAACAAGUGUUUUCAAGUGAGCUAAGCAUUAACGAAAUCAAUGACAGGUUCACUGCGGUUUUAAUUUCAGCGGCAGAAAAGGACAUUCCCCAAACAUCCAGCCUUGUGAGAAAAAAACAUUUUCC
rnacentral:lncRNA from 1 species